CUUACUUUAGUUUAAUUAAGAAUUUAGGUUUUGGGGAUCUGAGGUCUCUAUUGAGAAGUUAGG
rnacentral:tRNA from 1 species